UAGGGAAUCUUCCACAAUGGACGCAAGUCUGAUGGAGCAACGCCGCGUGAGUGAAGAAGGUCUUCGGAUCGUAAAAACUCUGUUGUUAGAGAAGAACACGAGUGAGAGUAACUGUUCAUUCGAUGACGGUAUCUAACCAGCAAGUCACGGCUAACUACGUGCCAG
rnacentral:rRNA from 1 species